GGGGAGGUGGCUCAAUGGGUAAGAGCACUUGCUGUGCAAGCUUGAGGACCUGAGUUCAAAUCCUUAGCACCCCUG
rnacentral:tRNA from 1 species